rnacentral:rRNA from 1 species
UACGUAGGGUGCGAGCGUUAUUCGGAAUUACUGGGCGUAAAGUGUGCGCAGGCGGCUCCGCAAGUCGGGUGUGAAAUCCCCAAGCUUAACUUGGGAAUUGCGCUCGAAACUACGGAGCUGGAGUGUGGCAGAGGAAGGUGGAAUUCCACGUGUAGCGGUGAAAUGCGUAGAUAUGUGGAGGAACACCGAUGGCGAAGGCAGCCUUCUGGGCCAACACUGACGCUCAUGCACGAAAGCGUGGGGAGCAAACAGG